CUCCAUGUGAGGCGGCGUUCACCGAUUAGGAGAGUGUGUUCAACUUCAUCAACAUGCAGCGAGUGUGUGCUGGCUGUAGCCUGAGGAGCACCGUGUACGAGUCUGCGAGCACUGGAGAUUGAUGGUUUUCCUGGAAGACCAGCCUCGCUGUUCUCCUGCUGCAGAGAGCCCACUGGGACAUGUUUACCAGGAAAUGCCUUUUAAAUUUCACACGGAGAACGAACAGAACCUGUUGGCAAAUCGGACCGCGACAGAAAACAGAUGACUGGAUCGAUGUCUGUGGAUGUUGCUGUGGAACCCUGUCAGAGGCCGUGUUGAGGAUUAAAGCUCUGUGGUGGUGAAAUUUGGCCAWAACGAGAGGAAGAAUGACAACGAAUGCAUAAAUUUUACUCCAAAAACAGACAGUUAUGUGCCCUCACAGCAUGCGGUGAUGGAGGCGCACUUAUGUGAAACUUCUCACACAUGAAUACACGCUCUGACAAACA